GAAUAUUUGACAAUGGGCGAAAGCCCGAUCCAGCCAUGCCGCGUGUGUGGGGAAGGUCUUCGGUGUGUAAAACACUUUAAGUCGGGAGGAAGGGCAGUAAGCGAAUACCUUGCUGUUUUGACGUUGCCAACAGAAUAAGCGCCGGCUACCUCUUCUCCAGCAGCCGCGGUAAUACAGAGGGUGCAAGCGUUAUCCGGAAUUACUGGGGGUAAAGCGCGCGUAGGUGGUUCGUUAAGUUGGAUGGGAAAUCCCCGGGCUCAACCUGGGAACUGCAUCCAAAACUGGCGAGCUAGAGUAGGGCAGAGGGUGGUGGAAUUUCCUGUGUAGCGGUGAAAUGCGUAGAUAUAGGAAGGAACACCAGUGGCGAAGGCGACCACCUGGGCUCAUACUGACACUGAGGUGCGAAAGCGUGGGGAGCAAACAG
rnacentral:rRNA from 1 species